ensembl:snRNA U11 spliceosomal RNA
AAAAAGGGCAUCUGUCGUGAUUGACACAGUAAGGGCAGGGUAUUUCUGUCCUUAUUGCGGAAUCGCUAUCAAGAGAUUUCGGAUGCAUAAUUUUUGAAAACCGGGGUUGCUGAUAACCGUUUGUUUCGGCGCCCCA